ensembl:lncRNA
GCAUGUGUGAGACGUGGUGGGAAUGGCCCUGUGAGGGGGGUGCUGUGUGUGAUGGAUGGCUCUGGGCUCUGCAGGCUGGAGAUGCAGGGCCGGUGAGAUGGGAUGGGGUUGCUGUAUGUACUGAUGGGCUGGAUGGAACGGACUUACAGUUAGCAGUGCCAUGGUUACAGCCUCUGUGUAUGGGUUAAGGGAUGAGGAAAGAAUGUGCAUGUCACUGUGGGAGCCUACUCGAAGCCUCUCAGCCUGGAUGGUGAUGCCAAUUAAUUAUUCUUAAUUGUUUAAAGGUGUAUCUCAAGACGAGCCUCACUUGCCCUAGUGGGUCAGCAGCUUCCCGGAAAUUGAGAGGGAAUAGCACUCAGCCAAGGAGCUCUGUGGUUUUCAUGGCCAACUGAUUAUAUACGACUGUUGAAGUCACUGGGGAGAUGCUCGCACAUUCACACAGGAGCGAGCGGCAGAUGCCCAACAGCAGCUCCAUCAGCGAGUUCCUCCUCCUGGCGUUGGCAGACACGCGGCCGCUGCAGCUCCUGCACUUCUGGCUCUUGCUGGGCAUCUACCUGGCUGCCCUCCUGGGCAACGGCCUCAUCAGCACAGCCGUAGCCUGCGACCACCGCCUGCACACCCCCAUGUACUUCUUCCUCCUCAACCUCGCCCUCCUCGACCUGGGCUCCAUCUCCACCACUGUCCCCAAAGC